UACGGGGGGAGCAAGCGUUGUUCGGAUUUACUGGGCGUAAAGGGCGCGUAGGCGGUCAGCACAAGUCAGUUGUGAAAUCUCCGAGCUUAACUCGGAAAUGGCAUCGGAUACUAUUCUGCUAGAGGGCUGGAGAGGAGACUGGAAUUCUCGGUGUAGCAGUGAAAUGCGUAGAUAUCGAGAGGAACACCCGUGGCGAAGGCAAGUCUCUGGACAGCACCUGACACUGAGGCACGAAAGCUAGGGGAGCAAACAGG
rnacentral:rRNA from 1 species